rnacentral:rRNA from 1 species
CCUACGGGUCGCAGCAGUGGGGAAUAUUGGACAAUGGGCGAAAGCCUGAUCCAGCCAUGCCGCGUGUGUGAAGAAGGCCUUCGGGUUGUAAAGCACUUUCAGUGGGGAAGAAAGCCUUGGGGCUAAUACCCUCGAGGAAGGACAUCACCCACAGAAGAAGCACCGGCUAACUCCGUGCCAGCAGCCGCGGUAAUACGGAGGGUGCGAGCGUUAAUCGGAAUUACUGGGCGUAAAGCGCGCGUAGGCGGUCUGAUAAGCCGGUUGUGAAAGCCCCGGGCUCAACCUGGGAACGGCAUCCGGAACUGUCAGGCUAGAGUGCAGGAGAGGAAGGUAGAAUUCCCGGUGUAGCGGUGAAAUGCGUAGAGAUCGGGAGGAAUACCAGUGGCGAAGGCGGCCUUCUGGACUGACACUGACGCUGAGGUGCGAAAGCGUGGGUAGCAAACAGGAUUAGAUACCCGGGUAGUC